rnacentral:rRNA from 1 species
UAUUGGGCAAUGGGCGCAAGCCUGACCCAGCAACGCCGCGUGAAGGAAGAAGGCUUUCGGGUUGUAAACUUCUUUUAUUCGGGACGAAGAUAGUGACGGUACCGAAUGAAUAAGCCACGGCUAACUACGUGCCAGCAGCCGCGGUAAUACGUAGGUGGCAAGCGUUAUCCGGCUUUAUUGGGUGUAAAGGGUGUGUAGGCGGGAAUGCAAGUCAGAUGUGAAAACUCAGGGCUCAACCCUGAGCCUGCAUUUGAAACUGUAUUUCUUGAGUGCUGGAGAGGCAAUCGGAAUUCCGUGUGUAGCGGUGAAAUGCGUAGAUAUACGGAGGAACACCAGUGGCGAAGGCGGAUUGCUGGACAGUAACUGACGCUGAGGCGCGAAAGCGUGGGGAGCAAACAGGA